rnacentral:rRNA from 1 species
UACGUAGGGGGCGAGCGUUGUCCGGAUUUAUUGGGCGUAAAGAGCGUGUAGGCGGCCAGGUAGGUCCGUUGUGAAAACUCGAGGCUCAACCUCGAGACGUCGAUGGAAACCAUCUGGCUAGAGUCCGGAAGAGGAGAGUGGAAUUCCUGGUGUAGCGGUGAAAUGCGCAGAUAUCAGGAAGAACACCUAUGGCGAAGGCAGCUCUCUGGGCCACUACUGACGCUGAGAAGCGAAAGCAUGGGGAGCGAACAGG